GUGUCAGCCGCCGCGGUAAGACGAAGGGGGCUAGCGUUGUUCGGAAUUACUGGGCGUAAAGCGAGUGUAGGUGGUUGUCCAAGUUGGAUGUGAAAGCCUUGAGCUCAACUCAAGAAAUGCAUUCAGGACUGGGCGGCUAGAGGACCGGAGAGGAUAGUGGAAUUCCCAGUGUAGUGGUGAAAUACGUAGAGAUUGGGAAGAACACCAGUGGCGAAGGCGGCUAUCUGGACGGUUUCUGACACUAAGACUCGAAAGCGUGGGGAGCAAACAGGAUUAGAAACCCUCGUAGUCC
rnacentral:rRNA from 1 species